UAACGCGUGAGGAACUUGCCUUUCAGAGGGGGACAACAGUUGGAAACGACUGCUAAUACCGCAUGACGCAUUUUGAUCGCAUGGUCGAAAUGCCAAAGAUUUAUCGCUGAAAGAUGGCCUCGCGUCUGAUUAGCUAGUUGGUGAGGUAACGGCCCACCAAGGCGACGAUCGGUAGCCGGACUGAGAGGUUGAACGGCCACAUUGGGACUGAGACACGGCCCAG
rnacentral:rRNA from 1 species